rnacentral:rRNA from 1 species
UACGUAGGGUGCGAGCGUUAAUCGGAUUUACUGGGCGUAAAGCGCCCGUAGGCGGCCUGACAAGUUGGACGUGAAAGCUCCUGGCUUAACUGGGAGAGGCCGUUCAAAACUGUCAAGCUAGAGUCUGGAAGAGGAGAGCGGAAUUCCCGGUGUAGUGGUGGAAUGCGUAGAGAUCGGGAGGAACACCAGUGGCGAAAGCGGCUCUCUGGUCCAAAACUGGACG